ensembl:lncRNA
GUUAAGACAUGCAUCAGCUCAUGGAACUGGAUGCCAAAUGCCUCUGGAGUUGCUGAAAGAAUAUCAACAUUUCUCUCUUCACCACAUUUCAUUAAAAAAAAAACAACAACCCAAACUAAAAAACUGCAACAAAACCCAACUAAAACCUGCAGCCUCAUUAUUAUUUCAGUGUAACUUGUGCCAUGAGGAGAUCAAGCAAGCAUGUCAGUGUGUGACUGUCAGCGUGAAGAGACCAACUGUAGCUCUGUAUGUGAGCGAGUUCUGGGCAUGCUACUUCAGGGGCAGUGGUGUCCCUGCGGGCUGGGAAGAGCCCUUUGGUCAUGAGGACAGGGGCAGAGGGACCCCGCGUGUGUGGUAAGUGUCAUCAACCCCCGUCUCCUCCUCCCC